CAGCACUUGUAAGCAAUUGGCCACAUGCAUCUGCUCAGACACUCCACUCAGCGGGCAUUCCCCAGAGGCAAGAACUUGCCCUGUCCCACUUCCUCGUGGCAUGAUUUAGGGGACCCACAGAGAGACGUGAGUGCAUCAGAGCUGAUGGGCCCUCCUGUGGCCCAUGCUCUUCUCUGUUCCACGCCCUUCAUGGACUAUUGAUGGCUUCUUCCUAAUGGACCUCCCAAUGGACCACAUAAAAGUGAAGGAUCUGGUGCCAAACUGAGUAUGGAGCGAAUGCCCAGCAAGAGGGGCCAGCAGGGCCACAGCCAGUUGGAUUCAGAGGGACUCUGUGUCUGAAGGAUGCUCCCUCUUGGGACCCAGCCACCAUGCUGUGGGGAAGCCCACAGACAGAGCUCCUGCAAAGAGAGACUAAGAGCCAGAACCAACGUGCCAGUCAUGUGCCAGUCAUCUUGGAGAUGGAUCCUCAGCCCUGCUUGACCCGCCCCAGCCAGCACUACUUGGAGAACAGCCGUCCCUUCCACACCCUGCUCAACUGCAGAUCUGAGAGCCAAAUAUGUGGUGGUUGUCUCCAGACACCUGCUCGCAGUCAUCUUUAUACUAUAGACCAUCAGAGCAUUUGCCCAAGAAGCAAAUGCUCCCGGAGCGUUCCGUGUUCAGAGUCCUGGAAUCUAUGAGGAAUCAGGCCAGCCCCUGCUUUCUCCUUCCAGGUCGGACCCACGCUGUCACUUCUAGGACAGUAAGUGAGGACAAUUACAGGUUCUAAGCAUAGAAUCUCCGAGUUUCUGGUCUCUUUGAAACCUUAAGGAAAUUAACCGUCCUCUGAGCCUUGGUUUCUUCAUCUAUAAAGGAGCGAUAAUAAGACCUAGGUCAUCAUGUUGCAAUAAGGAGUAUGAAGCAUAGAUUGGCACACCCUGUUUGUGAGGAGCCAGAUGGUGAAUGGCUUAGGCUUCAAGGACCAUACGGGCCAUCACCACUAUUCGGUUCCUCCAUGACACCAAGAAAGCAGACACAGUCGUCCAUAAAAAAAUUGGCAUGGCUGUGUUCCAAUAAAGCCUCUUCUACAGAGACGAGAUCUGGCCCAUGGAUCAGAGACUUCAGACCCCUGCAAUAAAGGAUUGGGAAGGCUCCCGGCAUGAACUCGGUAGCCACCAUUGGCAGGUGAAUUAUGACUGUCGAUAGAAAUGCAACGGACUUUAGGCAGAAGAGUUUGUUGGGAGUUUGCCAGCCCCAUAACCACAGGGUUCACCAAAAAGUGUUCACGCCGAGAUAAUGAGCAACAAGCCUAGUGACACGAUGAGUCACCCCAAGUCGGUGACACGAAGGAGUUUGGGAAACUGCUCUGCUGUGUUCUUUGGCAGUGGUCUUGCCCAAGUCACCUCACCUCUUGACUCAAGGUAGUUCUUCUCUAAAAUGAACAUACAUGUUGCAGACCUUCCUGUGGAAACUGAAGUUUCAAAUCCAGAGCGAAGACAUUUCUCACAGGUCAUCACAUCUUUCAGCUGAGAGCCCCGGGGGGCAGGGAUUUUGGAGUCCGGCUUUAGGGUAAUAAAAGGAAAUGAGUAAGGGAGGAGAAGAGGGGGGCCCUGGAGGGACCAUGAUGGGAAAGAGGCUGGAGGAAACGUGCCCCCCUAUUCUUCUCUCUCGGGUGUCCGUUCACUCACUCGCUCACUGUGGUCUGCAUAUGGCUUGCCAGCUGGGAGCGAGGUCCGGGCUGGGAGUGGGGUCACUAUGAGUGGCUGUGAUACUCCCAUCUCUGCCUCGUGGAGGGGGCUCACCUCCAGCGAGGGGAAGAGGCCAUUACGGAAGUCAUGGCAGUAAUCAUGUUGUGUGUUG